UUAAGCGAAUAAGCGUACACGGUGGAUGCCCUGGCAGUCAGAGGCGAUGAAGGACGUGCUAAUCUGCGAUAAGCGUCGGUAAGGUGAUAUGAACCGUUAUAACCGGCGAUUUCCGAAUGGGGAAACCCAGUGUGAUUCGUCACACUAUCAUUAACUGAAUCCAUAGGUUAAUGAGGCGAACCGGGGGAACUGAAACAUCUAAGUACCCCGAGGAAAAGAAAUCAACCGAGAUUCCCCCAGUAGCGGCGAGCGAACGGGGAGGAGCCCAGAGCCUGAAUCAGUGUGUGUGUUAGUGGAAGCGUCUGGAAAGGCGCGCGAUACAGGGUGACAGCCCCGUACACAAAAAUGCACAUGCUGUGAGCUCGAUGAGUAGGGCGGGACACGUGGUAUCCUGUCUGAAUAUGGGGGGACCAUCCUCCAAGGCUAAAUACUCCUGACUGACCGAUAGUGAACCAGUACCGUGAGGGAAAGGCGAAAAGAACCCCGGCGAGGGGAGUGAAAAAGAACCUGAAACUGUGUACGUACAAGCAGUGGGAGCACAGAGCAAUCUGUGUGACUGCGUACCUUUUGUAUAAUGGGUCAGCGACUUAUAUUCUGUAGCAAGGUUAACCGAAUAGGGGAGCCGAAGGGAAACCGAGUCUUAACUGGGCGUUAAGUUGCAGGGUAUAGACCCGAAACCCGGUGAUCUAGCCAUGGGCAGGUUGAAGGUUGGGUAACACUAACUGGAGGACCGAACCGACUAAUGUUGAAAAAUUAGCGGAUGACUUGUGGCUGGGGGUGAAAGGCCAAUCAAACCGGGAGAUAGCUGGUUCUCCCCGAAAGCUAUUUAGGUAGCGCCUCGUGAAUUCAUCUCCGGGGGUAGAGCACUGUUUCGGCAAGGGGGUCAUCCCGACUUACCAACCCGAUGCAAACUGCGAAUACCGGAGAAUGUUAUCACGGGAGACACACGGCGGGUGCUAACGUCCGUCGUGAAGAGGGAAACAACCCAGACCGCCAGCUAAGGUCCCAAAGUCAUGGUUAAGUGGGAAACGAUGUGGGAAGGCCCAGACAGCCAGGAUGUUGGCUUAGAAGCAGCCAUCAUUUAAAGAAAGCGUAAUAGCUCACUGGUCGAGUCGGCCUGCGCGGAAGAUGUAACGGGGCUAAACCAUGCACCGAAGCUGCGGCAGCGACGCUGAUGCGUUGUUGGGUAGGGGAGCGUUCUGUAAGCCUGUGAAGGUGUGCUGUGAGGCAUGCUGGAGGUAUCAGAAGUGCGAAUGCUGACAUAAGUAACGAUAAAGCGGGUGAAAAGCCCGCUCGCCGGAAGACCAAGGGUUCCUGUCCAACGUUAAUCGGGGCAGGGUGAGUCGACCCCUAAGGCGAGGCCGAAAGGCGUAGUCGAUGGGAAACAGGUUAAUAUUCCUGUACUUGGUGUUACUGCGAAGGGGGGACGGAGAAGGCUAUGUUGGCCGGGCGACGGUUGUCCCGGUUUAAGCGUGUAGGCUGGUUUUCCAGGCAAAUCCGGAAAACUAAGGCUGAGGCGUGAUGACGAGGCACUACGGUGCUGAAGCAACAAAUGCCCUGCUUCCAGGAAAAGCCUCUAAGCAUCAGGUAACAUCAAAUCGUACCCCAAACCGACACAGGUGGUCAGGUAGAGAAUACCAAGGCGCUUGAGAGAACUCGGGUGAAGGAACUAGGCAAAAUGGUGCCGUAACUUCGGGAGAAGGCACGCUGAUAUGUAGGUGAAGUCCCUCGCGGAUGGAGCUGAAAUCAGUCGAAGAUACCAGCUGGCUGCAACUGUUUAUUAAAAACACAGCACUGUGCAAACACGAAAGUGGACGUAUACGGUGUGACGCCUGCCCGGUGCCGGAAGGUUAAUUGAUGGGGUCAGCGCAAGCGAAGCUCUUGAUCGAAGCCCCGGUAAACGGCGGCCGUAACUAUAACGGUCCUAAGGUAGCGAAAUUCCUUGUCGGGUAAGUUCCGACCUGCACGAAUGGCGUAAUGAUGGCCAGGCUGUCUCCACCCGAGACUCAGUGAAAUUGAACUCGCUGUGAAGAUGCAGUGUACCCGCGGCAAGACGGAAAGACCCCGUGAACCUUUACUAUAGCUUGACACUGAACAUUGAGCCUUGAUGUGUAGGAUAGGUGGGAGGCUUUGAAGUGUGGACGCCAGUCUGCAUGGAGCCGACCUUGAAAUACCACCCUUUAAUGUUUGAUGUUCUAACGUUGACCCGUAAUCCGGGUUGCGGACAGUGUCUGGUGGGUAGUUUGACUGGGGCGGUCUCCUCCUAAAGAGUAACGGAGGAGCACGAAGGUUGGCUAAUCCUGGUCGGACAUCAGGAGGUUAGUGCAAUGGCAUAAGCCAGCUUGACUGCGAGCGUGACGGCGCGAGCAGGUGCGAAAGCAGGUCAUAGUGAUCCGGUGGUUCUGAAUGGAAGGGCCAUCGCUCAACGGAUAAAAGGUACUCCGGGGAUAACAGGCUGAUACCGCCCAAGAGUUCAUAUCGACGGCGGUGUUUGGCACCUCGAUGUCGGCUCAUCACAUCCUGGGGCUGAAGUAGGUCCCAAGGGUAUGGCUGUUCGCCAUUUAAAGUGGUACGCGAGCUGGGUUUAGAACGUCGUGAGACAGUUCGGUCCCUAUCUGCCGUGGGCGCUGGAGAACUGAGGGGGGCUGCUCCUAGUACGAGAGGACCGGAGUGGACGCAUCACUGGUGUUCGGGUUGUCAUGCCAAUGGCACUGCCCGGUAGCUAAAUGCGGAAGAGAUAAGUGCUGAAAGCAUCUAAGCACGAAACUUGCCCCGAGAUGAGUUCUCCCUGACUCCUUGAGAGUCCUGAAGGAACGUUGAAGACGACGACGUUGAUAGGCCGGGUGUGUAAGCGCAGCGAUGCGUUGAGCUAACCGGUACUAAUGAACCGUGAGGCUUAACCU
rnacentral:rRNA from 1 species